AGGUCACUGCUAUCGGUGUUCGAUUAAGCCAUGCGAGUCGUGAGGGGUAAAGCCCUCGGCGGAGUGCUCAGUAACACGUGGACAACCUACCCAAGAGUCAGGGAUAACCCCGGGAAACUGGGGAUAAUACCUGAUAGGCCAUGACAUCUGGAAUCGAGUUGUGGUUUAAACGUAAGGCUCUUGGAUGGGUCUGCGGCGGAUUAGGUUGUUGCCGGUGUAACGUACCAGCAAGCCUGUAAUCCGUACGGGUUGUGGGAGCAAGAGCCCGGAGAUGGAUUCUGAGACACGAAUCCAGGCCCUACGGGGCGCAGCAGGCGCGAAAACUCUACAAUGCAGGCAACUGCGAUAGGGGAACAUCGAGUGGCAUCCACCAUGGAUGUCUGUCCAAUCGUCUAAAAAACGAUUGUCAGCAAGGGCCGGGCAAGACCGGUGCCAGCCGCCGCGGUAAUACCGGCGGCUCGAGUGGUGGCCGAUAUUAUUGAGUCUAAAGGGUCCGUAGCCGGCUUUGCAAGUCCUAUGGGAAAUCCAGCGGCUUAACCGUUGGGCUUUCAUGGGAUACUACAUUGCUUGGGACUGGGAGAGGUAGGAGGUACUCAGGGGGUAGGGGUGAAAUCCUGUAAUCCUUUGGGGACCACCGGUGGCGAAGGCGUCCUACCAGAACAGGUCCGACGGUGAGGGACGAAAGCUAGGGGCACGAACCGGACUAGAUACCCGGGUAGUCCUAGCCGUAAACGAUGCUCACUAGGUGUCACGGCAGUCGUGAAUUGUCGUGGUGCCGUAGGGAAGCCGUGAAGCGAGCCACUUGGGAAGUACGACCGCAAGGUUGAAACUUAA
rnacentral:rRNA from 1 species